rnacentral:rRNA from 1 species
GCAUGGGGGUUGGUGGAAAGGUUUGUUCUGGUGGGGGAUGGGCUCGCGGCCUAUCAGCUUGUUGGUGGGGUGAUGGCCUACCAAGGCUUUGACGGGUAGCCGGCCUGAGAGGGUGACCGGUCACAUUGGGACUGAGAUACGGCCCAGACUCCUACGGGAGGCAGCAGUGGGGAAUAUUGCACAAUGGGCGAAAGCCUGAUGCAGCGACGCCGCGUGAGGGAUGGAGGCCUUCGGGUUGUAAACCUCUUUCGCUCAUGGUCAAGCCGCAACUGUGGGUUGUGGUGAGGGUAGUGGGUAAAGAAGCGCCGGCUAACUACGUGCCAGCAGCCGCGGUAAUACGUAGGGCGCGAGCGUUGUCCGGAAUUAUUGGGCGUAAAGGGCUUGUAGGCGGUUGGUCGCGUCUGCCGUGAAAUUCUCUGGCUUAACUGGGGGCGUGCGGUGGGUACGGGCUGACUUGAGUGCGGUAGGGGAGACUGGAACUCCUGGUGUAGCGGUGGAAUGCGCAGAUAUCAGGAAGA